CGGCUCAUAAAGCGUGUCCGGCUCGGUGACUUCUUUUACAUGCCUUUUCUUACAAGUCUUUCCUUACAUAUGGCGGUUUACAAUAUUGGGCCUUAAUCCGCCUCUGGGCUUAGGCCUUCUAUAAGCUUUAAUAAACUAUCGUCUGUAUUGUUUUCUGGACUUCCUUUGUGACCCGUCAUUGGGACUGACCAGGCCCCUCCUGGGCGGGUCAUAACUGAUAUCUAUAUCCCCAACAUUAGGCCCGAGGUUGACAUUGAACUUUGUUCUUUGUCAAUCUUCAAUACUUAGAAAUAAUCCGUCUUCUUGUCUUCACAGAAAUUUUGUAACCCGCCAUGACGUUAUCUCUUGAAUACACAAAAAACUAUCAUGAUGUCAUCUUCUCAACGGAUCUUCGUCUUUAAUGCUUUCUGAGAAUCGAAGCGCCCAUUUGGUUGGAUAAACAUUAUAUGGGUCUUCCUCGUUUUUCGCGCCCGCCUGUUCACUUCUCUCCUUAUAAAUAGGCACGCUCCGGUCUUCUCAUUCUUCUCUCUUCUUCAUCUUCUUCCUCUCGCAACCCCCGCUGCUGCUCGAGCCCCGCCACCGUCGCAGAGCAUCUCGUCGUCGUCGACCUUGGCCGCUGCAUCAACCAGAAUAGGUCUAGAGAACAACGGCGACCUUCCGUGGAGGAUUCGUGGCCGUAAGUAUUCGCCCUCCUAUUCCUCAGAUCCGCAUCUCGGUUUUCCGCAUGUUCUUCGUAGUUCUUCGCGGUUCUUCGCAGUUCUUCCACUGCCACCUCUUCUUGAUCCAAAAAGAUAGAUAUUCUUGUGCGGUAGCUAUUUGGUGCCUACUCUUGACAUUGGUAGAUCCCUUUUUGUGGUACAAAGGCCGCAUUAGGGCUGAUGCCUUCAUCUGUGCUAUAUUUUUAGGUCUAGAAAUUUUUUCAUUUUGAACGGCCAUUUGAUCCAUAAUAAUAUCUAGAAGUUAAGAAACAUGUUUGUCUCCACACUUAAUCAAUUUCGUUGCUGGUAUUUCUCAAAUGUCUGUAGUCAUGGCGGCUUGCGGCACUGUCUUACUUUUCCUUAUAUGACAUUAGCCCUUACUUAAGCCGCCAUUACUCCCCUGUACCAUUAUCACUUAAUUUAACCAUUAUCAUUGAAUUGAACCGGCAUGUUGCUUUCCUUUCAGUUCGCUUUUGAACAUCAUGCCGUCCAAAGCGUCGACUGUGUGCAACUGGGUUCCCUCAAUAGUCACUGAGGACACUCUGAAGGAUUUCUUUACCAUAGGUUUUUUGCUAGGGAAGAAUAUUAUGUCCUACCGUGCGCCUGACCCGGAGGAGGAACGGCCCAAUCCAGAAGAUGGUGAAGUUAUCAUCUUUUCUGAUCACAUGAACCAUGGCUUUUCCCCACCCGGCUCAAAGUUCUUUAGAGAUGUCCUCCAUUUUUUCAAACUCCACCCUCAAGACCUCGGGCCUAAUUCCAUAUCUAAUAUCUGUAACUUCCAAGUUCUCUGCGAGGUGUACCUUCAAGAAGAAACGACUUUAGAACUCUUUAGAGAGUAUUUUUAUCUGAACCAUUAGAAUGAGUGCACCAAUGGCCCUAGCCUGGAACUUGGAGGUAUCUCAAUUCAGCGUCGACAAGGUGCCGUCUUCCCCCUAAUAGUCUUGCCAAGUCAUCCCAAGGACUGGAAUCAGACUUGGUUUUAUUGUCAAGACACUUCACCAGCAAAUGAGCAUCCAUUGCCGGGUUACCGCUUAGAGCGUCUUGACUCCAAAUUUGCACUCCCUAACAAACUCACUGCCGCUGAACGCAAGAAGAUGAUACCAUCCAUUUAAAAGGAUUAAUGCUUUACUGGGGAACGGCUUAACCAGAGUUGACUUGACCUGUUGCUGGGUUGCGUGGCGGGUCAUCCCUCUAAGCCGUCGAUCAAAAUUGAUGUACGAGUAUGGUGGAGGCCCAGAUGACUCUCUUCGUCACAGCUCCAUUCAAUUAACUGAAGAAGAUAUUGUUUCAAUGUCAACCCUUCUGGUGAAUGGAAAAUACGAAGACUGCAGUAAAGUCGGGUUAAACCCCUUCUGCAAGAUUAACCUGGUGCCAGAGGUAAAGAAACUCUGGCCUUUCAUCUUGCUUAUAUGUUUAUAGGCUAAAUCUGAUUUCUGGAAAGCCAAGUACGACCACGAAGCCGCCAAGAAAGCUAGAGCCGCCGCCAUAACCGCCAAGAAGACAACCCGGAGAUCUAAGAAGAAGAAGAAGAAGAAGAAGAAGAAGAAGAAGAAGAAGAAGAAGAAGAAAAGCACGGCUGAGGAUAUGUUGAAGCUUGAUGAUACUUCUGAGUCGGAGGUAGCCCUUGACUCCCUUGGCCAACUUUUUAAUAAUCUUAUUUACACUGAUCAUUGCCAGGACGACACAGGGGCCAGUUAGGCCGUGGAAGAAGAGCAACAUGAGAGCCGCCGUCAGACCUAGAAUGGUGAUGAACCGCCUGCUGUUCUUCAAAAAACUCCUUAAAAACGCCAGAAUGAGGAGGUGUCUCGCUCUUCUGGCGACUCAUCUCAAACUCAAUUCACGGCCUUUAAGACUGCCCCUGGUGGCCAAGCCAAGUCUAAGAAGGCUAAGGUGACUAGGCCAGCGGAAGACCCGCCAGUCCUUGCACCUGAAUCAACCAUGCCACCUUCUCCUCCGUUAACUGAAGCACCACAAGACCCGGUUGCCAAUGCUGAAGUAGCUCCUCCUGAGCCGUCAGUUGACGAUACUAUCGUUAACCCUUCUGCUACCGGUCCAUCCAGCUCAGCCAACCCACCAUCGCCGUCAGCCCAGGACGUUCUGAUCACUGGAAGCCGCUUUGUUGAGCCGGGGAAUCCCACUGUGUUGGCUCGUCACACGGCUAAAAAAGAGGCUUUGGAGAGACAAAAAGUGUGUUAUGAUGUUUCACAUUAUAACCAUCUGAACGCCAACGACAUAUUGUCCGGCUAUCUCAGCCACGUGCACUCCAGCCGUGACUCAGAAAUUGAAAUGGUCAAGCAGUUGCAGCUGAAGUAUGAGAUAUAUUUUUCCGGCUUACUUAUAUUCUGCCAGCCCCCAAAUCUGUAGAUUAUGAUAAAACCUGAAUGAUAUGUAGACUUAUGAUAUAGGCUAAAACUGUACCUUUAGAUUUUUCUGAAGUCCAAUAAAUUAGAAUAAACUUCACCUGUAGUCCCCAAGGGCCGGUUCACUUGACCAUAAAUGAGCCGGUACUUUGAAUUUCAUAACUAUCUUGUGCCGAACUCAAUAGAUAUUGUAGUCCGGCUUACCCUUGAGAAACUUGCUGAAUAUCAUACAUUAGCCCCCAAGUGCCAAGUGUUAUUACUUUGUAAAGUACUUGGGACUUGAAGUAUAGUAGAGUCAUAAGAAUUUGUUUUGGCAUACAUUAGCCCCCAAGUGUCAGGUGGUUUUGCAGUUCAAAGGCACUUGAGACUUGAAUCUUGAAUCUUGAGCUUUGCUACACCUGUAUAUGUUUUGCAAACGCCCUAUCUGAAUUGGGUUUGCAAUUGACUAACGCUAAGACCCGGCCGGCGGAUCAGGAGGCAGAAAUCAAGGCUGCUGACUCCAAGCUUCAAUUAAGUCUUGUUGAGACGGAAAAACUGAAAAACAGCUUGACUGCCAAGAAGAAAACCUGGGCUGAAGAGAAAACACUGCUGACACAACGCGCCGAAAAAGCGGAAGCAGCUCUUGAGGAGGUUACUACAGAGCUGGCCAGUUUAAAGAAUAGGGUAUCUCAAAUGGUGUCCGCCAUCUUUAGUAAGCCAUCUGUACUAACCUUUUGUACCUUCUACUGAGCUGGAAUAUAAACCGCUAGCUGACCCUUUGUUUACAAAACAUGUGCAGGCCCACGAAGCAAGAAUCUGAGCCAAGACAACAUGACUAGACUGAAGGCGGUGUAUACCUUAGUGGAUCAAUUGUACAUUGGCGCACAACGGGCACUUGCCGCUAUUUCUCCUGCCAAUCAAGGACCCAGCCGGCUCAGUGAUGUCUUAAAAAAGCUGUCAAUCUUACCCGCCAGGUUCCAAGAAGUUAAGCGAUCCUGUGCCAGAGCCGGAGCUUUGACUUCCCUGAGCCACUCCAAGGCUUGGGUGCGAGAUCUAGACCCGGCGGCUGUAGCCAAAGGAUACCCACGGUAAAGGAAGACGGGUCUCUGUUUGAAUAGGAUGACUUCGUUGCUUGCGUGAGGGAGGUGCGACCUCAGGCCACCAUUCUCGGAGAUGAAAUAAAUAUCGAUAAAUACCAGCCGGGUUUUGAUUUGGACAAUAAGAAGAUGGCGACUCCCUCCUACAAGGUGACCAACAUUAUCCCGCCGGUUCAUCAACAUACAUUUGCUCCGGAUGUUGAUCCAGCCGGCUUGAUUGAUGAAGAAGUAGAAUUUAUUGCUGUGAACGGUUUUGACUGGUCAAAACCCAGCUUCCAAUCAGCAUAAGGCGGUGAACCGGUGAGGGAGGAAUGAAAAACCAUCUUCAUGGGCUUUUAAAACCCUUGUAAUAGGUUAGUUUUGAAAACACUGCCUAUUUUGCCUAUGCCAUCGCGCAUAAGACACCGUGUGUUACUCUGUGCUUUCUGAUGUUAAUAUAUGCAUCAUAUUUAUGGUUAUCUCUGCAAUACUCCAGCUCUGUUCCUGUAGAUAAAAGGGAAAAAACUGGCUUGGCGGUUUAGUACCGAACGGGUCAGAACACCCGGUUUAUAACCAAUAUUUUAUUAUAAUAGCGGAAAAACAGAAAAACAGAUGUGAAAAUAUCCAAGGUUGAAACAACCUUUGAUUAAUAUAAAAAACAACUGUUCUUCAAAUAACAGUCAAAACUGUAUUUCUUACCUCUGGACCACCGGUUUAUGUGAUCCGGGUUAUGAGGUUGAUGAUCCAAACCUUUUGAGAAGUCAAUGCUUAUGUAUGAUUGAUGAUUUUAAUGCCUUAGCAGCUUAUUGUAAAGUAGUUAAGCCGGUGAAAAGACCGUUCUGAUUUGUUGAAAAUUGAGACAAUAACAAAUCAAUAAGACAAAUAAGACGAAUAAUAGUUGGUAAUCAAUACAAAUUAACCUUGUAGUUAAAGGUUGGGGUUUUCUGAUUCGAAUACGAUCAGUAAACCGGACCAAAGGGGUUAAGCUAAUAUUCAACUACGACCAUAUAGCCCCCAGUGGCUUUGGCGUUGCGCCGAUCA